CAAAGUUGGAAUGCUUAACAGGAUAUCUAAGAUGUCCCAUUUCUUGUAUUAACUUCAGUCUGAGCCCAGAGUGCUGGAUGCAGGAUCCACCUCUUUCUAUUAGGAACAACUGAAUCCUGGAGUGUGAAAGCAGCAAGAAUAUAUCAAGUCAUCUUAUUAAUUCCUUUUUCACCAUAUAAUUAAAUAAUAUAUGCUGCUUGGUAUUUAA